rnacentral:rRNA from 1 species
UACGAAGGGGGCUAGCGUUGCUCGGAAUUACUGGGCGUAAAGGGCGCGUAGGCGGACAGUUUAGUCAGAGGUGAAAGCCCAGGGCUCAACCUUGGAAUUGCCUUUGAUACUGGCUGUCUUGAGUUCGGGAGAGGUGAGUGGAAUGCCGAGUGUAGAGGUGAAAUUCGUAGAUAUCGGAAGGAACAUCAGUGGCGAAAGCGACUUCCUGGACCAGUACCGACGUUCAGGCACGAAAGCGUGGGGAGCAAACAGG